AAGUCGUAACAAGGUUUCCGUAGGUGAACCCUGAGGAAGAUACAAUUAAGAUUGCGCAUCGCGCAUUCUCACCCUUUGUAUACCGAAACCAUGUUGCUUUGGCAGGCCCCUGCAUUUCUCGGGCCUGCCAGAGGUUAUAAACCCCAGCAUCUCUGCUGUCUGAGUACUAUACAAUAGUUAAAA
rnacentral:misc_RNA from 1 species